AUUUAAGUAGUUUAUUUAAAAUAUUGAUUUGUGGUGUCAGAGAAGCAAGGUUUGUCUUAAAUA
rnacentral:tRNA from 1 species